rnacentral:rRNA from 1 species
CCGAGAGGUGGAUGUGCCCGAAAGGGAGCCGUAACACAGGUGCUGCAUGGCUGUCGUCAGCACGUGUCGUGAGAUGUUGGGUUAAGUCCCGCAACGAGCGCAACCCUUGUCCCUAGUUGCUACGCAAGAGCACUCCAGGGAGACUGCCGGUGACAAACCGGAGGAAGGUGGGGAUGACGUCAAGUCCUCAUGGCCCUUAUGGGUAGGGCUUCACACGUCAUACAAUGGUCGGAACAGAGGGUUGCCAAGCCGCGAGGUGGAGCCAAUCCCAGAAAACCGAUCGUAGUCCGGAUCGCAGUCUGCAACUCGACUGCGUGAAGCUGGAAUCGCUAGUAAUCGCGGAUCAGCAUGCCGCGGUGAAUACGUUCCCGGGUCUUGUACACACCG